AGGAGCAAGUAGUAUUUCAUAACCCUCUCUUCUCAUUCAAUGGGAUGCUCUUCAUGGUAUGUAGGGGUGCCACUGUGAGAUCUCAUGAAGAAAAAAAUGAAAGGAGAAAAUUUAUUUUUUUGCAAAAUCCUAGAUCUUAAAAUUCUAGGUGUUGAUGUAUGUGAUGCAAGUUGCGAAGAAGUUAGUUACAUCUAAUCUUAUUUAAUCAAAAUUAUUUUGAUUUAAAAUUAUAAAAAUUUAGAUUUGA
rnacentral:lncRNA from 1 species